GACGAACCGUGCGAACGUUGUUCGGAUUCACUGGGCUUAAAGGGCGCGUAGGCGGGCUGCCAAGUCAGGGGUGAAAGCUCCCGGCCCAACCGGGAAAGGGCCUUUGAUACUGGCGGCCUCGAGGGAGGUAGGGGCACGCGGAACUUCCGGUGGAGCGGUGAAAUGCGUAGAUAUCGGAAGGAACGCCGGUGGCGAAAGCGGCGUGCUGGACCUCUGCUGACGCUGAGGCGCGAAAGCGUGGGGAGCGAACAGG
rnacentral:rRNA from 1 species